UACGAAGGGGGCUAGCGUUGCUCGGAAUCACUGGGCGUAAAGCGCACGUAGGCGGAUCUUUAAGUCAGGGGUGAAAUCCCAAGGCUCAACCUUGGAACUGCCUUUGAUACUGGGGAUCUCGAGUCCGGAAGAGGUUGGUGGAACUGCGAGUGUAGAGGUGAAAUUCGUAGAUAUUCGCAAGAACACCAGUGGCGAAGGCGGCCAACUGGUCCGGUACUGACGCUGAGGUGCGAAAGCGUGGGGAGCGAACGAGG
rnacentral:rRNA from 1 species